AGUGAACGCUGGCGGUAGGCCUAACACAUGCAAGUCGAACGGCAGCACAGCAGUAGCAAUACUGUGGGUGGCGAGUGGCGGACGGGUGAGGAAUACAUCGGAAUCUACCUUGUCGUGGGGGAUAAUGUAGGGAAACUUACGCUAAUACCGCAUACGACCUUCGGGUGAAAGUGGGGACCGGCAAGGCCUCACGCGAUUAG
rnacentral:rRNA from 1 species